UACGAAGGGAGCUAGCGUUGUUCGGAAUCACUGGGCGUAAAGCGCACGUAGGCGGAUGUGUCAGUCAGGGGUGAAAUCCUGGAGCUCAACUCCAGAACUGCCUUUGAUACUGAAGAUCUUGAGUUCGGGAGAGGUGAGUGGAACUGCGAGUGUAGAGGUGAAAUUCGUAGAUAUUCGCAAGAACACCAGUGGCGAAGGCGACUUCCUGGCCUGUUCUUGACGCUGAGGCGCGAAAGCUAGGGUAGCAAACGGG
rnacentral:rRNA from 1 species